rnacentral:rRNA from 1 species
UGGGGAAUUUUGGACAAUGGACGCAAGUCUGAUCCAGCCAUGCCGCGUGCGGGAAGAAGGCCUUCGGGUUGUAAACUGCUUUUGUACGGAGCGAAAAGGUCUGCCCUAAUACGGUGGGCUAAUGACGGUACCGUAAGAAUAAGCACCGGCUAACUACGUGCCAGCAGCCGCGGUAAUACGUAGGGUGCAAGCGUUAAUCGGAAUUACUGGGCGUAAAGCGUGCGCAGGCGGUUAUGCAAGACAGAGGUGAAAUCCCCGGGCUCAACCUGGGAACUGCCUUUGUGACUGCAUAGCUAGAGUACGGUAGAGGGGGAUGGAAUUCCGCGUGUAGCAGUGAAAUGCGUAGAUAUGCGGAGGAACACCGAUGGCGAAGGCAAUCCCCUGGACCUGUACUGACGCUCAUGCACGAAAGCGUGGGGAGCAAACA